rnacentral:lncRNA from 13 species
GCCAGCGUUGCAGCUGAGUCAUUACAAGGAAUCAUGUUGAUGAAUGCUUCGUAAUCACGGGCACCUGAGCCUGUGUAGGGAUGUGAUUUGAAUGUGACUGAAGGAGUGGGGUGGUUAUUUUUGUAUUAUCUUGUUUCAAUACCCCGUACAGUAGGUGGCGGCAAUACAGCAAUAGUUGUAGUCUGCCGUAGAAACUUUAAAGAAGAAGUAGUGUCCUCGUAUCAACGUGGCGUUUGUGUCGAACUCGAUAAAGUUAAAAGAAAGAACUAUUCUGUUACGCCAAGAAAAAACAAGACAGAGGACAACAGCACACGCAGAAAGUUGCAACGUGGUAUAGGUAGGUAUUUGCCGUUCCAUGGGAAAAGGAAAUGUGGGUGGACAGCAGCAGUCAUAACAAAUUACUUUGGGGACAAAAUAUUAUAUAAGGUCUAUUACACUGUUAAAUAGCAGAGGCAUCAUUAUGGGGUGAUCAUGCCAUAUGCUAUUUACAUUGUUUUGUCUAAUAUAUAUAUAUAUAUAUAUAUAUAUAUAUAUAUAUAUAUAUAUAUAUAUAUAUAUUAAACAAAUGACAAUGGCUUGUGGUUUAUAAACAUUUGAACGUGUUCCGUAAUAUUAUUAUGCAACAUUUACAUUAAUCACAUAAUAUAGUUGAUUCACAUCCAUACCACCGUAGGCAGAUGAGUAUUUAUUUUAACCCAACAAUAGUAGGCUUAGUAACGCCAUCGACAGCAAAAAAUAAGGUUAAUUUUACAUUUUUGUGUUAAUAUUUCUAAAGAAAUUAUGACAGAAAUAAAUGGGGGGAAAACUUGGAGGGAUUUGUUGAAGCUGAUUGAGUGGUUUCAAACAUAAACCGACAAAAAUUCUCACAUUCAGUACAGAAGUAUUUUGUUGCGCCGAAGUACAAUUGGAGCGCCUGUCCCCAUAAUACGCGGCAGUGGAAAUACACACGCCCACAAAGGAAACCCGCGUGUUUCUUUGAGGUUCCUCAUGAAUCUGAUUAAUAUCGUUUAAUAAUCUAUACUAGAUCUAUUGUUCCAACCAGAAUGACUUUUCAUGUGAAUUUGUAAGCGAUCGCUCACACAUUUUGAUCCCACUUCUAGCUACAUCACUGCGCAGGGAAUCUGCUUGUAGCUGCAUUGUUGGUGGUGGAUGCCACAUGUUUCGUUACUACUGUUAGCUAGCUAACGUUAGCUAGCUUGGAGUUUGUUCUUUUUACGUCGCUGGCGGUCCUUACCCACGGUUCCUACACUGGCAAUAUUGAAUUAACAUAGAGGUCAGGUGAGUCUUUUUCAACUUGGAAGACAUGCAAUUUUCGACAAACGGGAAUUGAACUGAGUGGCGUGUUGUGCUUAGCUGAUGCAAGCGGGUCAUUUCACCCAUCAUUGUCAAUGUCUUGUAUGUGCUAUUACUAUAGCAGGCCACCUGUAAUGUUUAGUGAUAAUAAGAGUUUGAUGCUUCUACAUGUAAAAGACUGGCGAUUAUCUGGUGAUUAAAAAACACAAGUGGUAAUUGGAUGAGACAAUGUUUUAUGUUGUCACGUGGUGAGUGCCCCUCUCUCCGAAUUGUCUGGGUGUUGUACAGUGCUGUGUUACAGUGAGAACUGGCUACAUAAUAUAGUCCCUAACCCAAAAUAAGUGUUAUUUAGCUGUAGGGUCAUUUAAUUUGAUUUCAAUCACAUUUUGACAGCACCCCCUUUUGAUUGGUCAUGUGACACGAAAAUGGAGGUCCUCGGCCACUGAGGUAUAAAACCCCUACCCUAACCCUUUAACCGUUUUAAAUGUAAACUUCAAUGGGGUAGGACCGUCCAAAGGAUCCCGGAUAACAUAGACAAAAAUAACGUCUACCUAUGAACGGGAUCCUUGGGACGGCCCAACUCUAACGUCACCCCAUUGAAGUUGACAUGUAAAAUGGUUACGGUUAGAAUUUAGGGUAAGGAUGUCCCAAGGAUCCCAAAUUGCACUAACCCCCACACCAUUUGUGGGUUUGCCCUAAGAGAAAACAAUGAAUAUGCGGGGAAAAAAUCAUCCCUACUGUAAAAUAUGCUGGUGGAUCUUUGAUGUUAUGGGGCUAUUUUGCUUCCGCUAGUUCUGAGGCCCUUGUUAAGGUUAACAGCAUCAUGAACAAGUAUCACCUUUUCUGGUCAUGAGUUCAAAUGCCCAAAGUACCCAUAUAACAACCAUGCCCAUCUAUCAUUUAAUUGUGCCUAUUAGGGGAGGGUAUUGAAAACAGGGGCUCCAAUCAUUUUGACUCUUGUAGAUUUGAUUGUUUGAGAAGUAAUCUUUCUUUGAGCAAUUAUUAAGUAUAAAAAAGUGUAAUGUAAAAAAACAAACAUUCAAUACAAUAUAGCUCAGUAUUUGUAUUUUAUACAGUAUUUUUUGCUCAUCUUUGUCAAGGGAUCCAAGAAUUCCAGCCCCACUGUAUUGGCCCAUGGUAGAAGUGGUCAGAAAAUAACUUUUUGGACCUGUAUGCCAACACAUUUUGCUCAAAGUUGACCUGUUUUGAGUACCCUACCAUGAGACACCCACGUCACCAUCGGUUGAGACACCGAAUACUCUGGAAAACAGGAUGGGUGUAAUUUCAAUAAUACAAAUAUAAUUAAUAGAAUGACCUAUCCCUUCAGACCACUGCAAUUUAGCUGGUACAUCGUUGAUAUUUUAAUUGAAUUGAUAUUUUUGCUUCCAAUUGCUAUCACAAAGAUGGCUGCCUGUCAAUCCACUGUUGAAUGUCAACCUAAAUGGUAAUGCCUAUUCUAUUAUCUAUAUUUCUAUCGGUUUCCUAUGGAAGUUUAACAAUAAUUUUAAACAACUGAUAUUGUCAUUUAAGUCAACAUUCUCUGUGGACUUUCAACCAUCUUUCUGCCACCAUUUUGAAUGUUGAUGUUUACGUUUUAAACCCACUUUAGUAUGUUUAUCAGUCUAAAUAUGACACACCACACUGUAUUCAAGAGCAUGUUGACUUAACUGAUGACAACACAAACACAUCUGAUGAAAAAUAGGGUCUAAGCUACAGCAUAUGAAGAAAACAUUGAUAAUUGACAUUAAAGGAGGAAAAAAGAGUAAAUUAUCAAAUAGUUUGACAAUCCUAUUUGUAAGCUUUUAAGUAAUACCAACUCAACCAUGUAUCUUUUCCAGUGAUGAAGACAUGGUUGUUUCAUGGUAGGGUGGAGUAUUCAAAACUUGGAGACCCUCUAUCUCCUAAAUAUUGUGGCAUUCAGGUGCAAGAAGUUAUAUUCUGACCACUUUUACCAUGGGCAAAUAUGUAUCAUACGUCUAAUCCAAAGGGGUACAGUCAAAGUGAUUGAAAUCAAAUAGAACAACCCUGUAGCUUGGGUUGCACAUUUUGGGGAAUAUUCAGAGGUGGAAACUUUCCAUGGGAAUAUAUGGGAGUUAACGGAAAUGUAUGCAAAUUAAUAUAAAUACCAUUUAAAUGUAGAUGUUUUUUGCAUUGGAUAUAUUUACCAUAUCAUUUGGAGACGAACAUAAACAUUUUACAUAAUCAUAAGUAGACAUAAUUGCAAAUUAUUACAUCCUUCCAAUAUAAAAAAAACAAACAAUUGAGUUACGAAUUGAACAUUAAUUAAAUGAGUUGACUUCACAUGCAAUGAUUUCACUGAACAACAAAAGGGAAUAUUGAAUGCCCCCAAUGAUCUGUAAAAUGAUAUUCUAGAAACGAAAGCUUUGGUUGUCUUCCCCUCAGGCUUCCAUGUCUUCUCCCUGGACCUCCUCAAUGUCCACCUCUUGAACAUCAGACUCCUAGGCCUCAUCUUCACUGUCGCUUUCCAACCCUGUUGAGGUUAGCUUGUUGUCGGGCUCAAAAAGACAAAGAUUUGCCCAGAUGGCAAACACUUUUUUUUUUUUUUUCAACCCUUGUAAUAGUCAGCCAUUUGUGUGCCUUGGUCUGUGUAUGUUCCCAAACAAGGACCAGUUGCGCUCUGAGGCGGCUGAUGUUGGUUGGAUUUAGAGGAUGAUGGAGGCAACAGAUCCACAAAGUCCCUUC